UGGGGAAUAUUGCACAAUGGAGGGAACUCUGAUGCAGCGACGCCGCGUGAGUGAUGAAGGACUUCGUUUCGUAAAACUCUGUUCUAUGGGAAGAAAAGGACUGUACCAUAGGAGAAAGCUCCGGCUAAAUACGUGCCAGCAGCCGCGGUAAUACGUAUGGAGCGAGCGUUGUCCGGAAUUAUUGGGCGUAAAGGGUGCGCAGGCGGCUUUACAAGUUGGAUGUGAAAUAUUGUGGCUCAACCACAAACGUGCAUCCAAAACUGCAAAGCUUGAGUUAAGGAGAGGUAAGUGGAAUUCCUGGUGUAGCGGUGGAAUGCGUAGAUAUCAGGAGAAAUACCGGUGGCGAAGGCGACUUACUGGACUUAAACUGACACUCAGGCACGAAAGCGUGGGGAGCAAACAGG
rnacentral:rRNA from 1 species